GGUUGUGGCACAGUGGCAGAGCACCUGCCUAGCAGGCAUGAGGUACUGGGUUCGAUCCUCAGCACCA
rnacentral:tRNA from 1 species